rnacentral:lncRNA from 10 species
AGAGUACAAGGGGAAACUUACAGCAAAAUUUUCACUGUUGAUAGCUUUCCUGGGGAAGACAACACAUGCACAAAUCCUGGUGUUAGGAAUAUUUUAAGCAUAUAUCUGCAAUAUUAUUCAUCCAGGACUGAAGUAAGUCCUGAUGCAGGAAAUGAGUGAGUUUCACAGCUUUCUGAGCCCCUACUUGACCCAGGAAGCCCAGCUGGCACCUCCUCUCAGUUCCACAUUUACAGUUUUGGAGGCUAGAAGUAAAGAAGUCAAGGUGUUGUAAGGGGAGUGCUGUCACUAAAACAGGUUAUUUGAUAAUUAUCAAGCACUGUUCCAAGAAUGAGGAUUUCAGUAUUAGGAAUUCAGGAGCAGUUUGGUUUGACAGUUCUGAUUCUAGGAUUUUCAUGAGGUUGGCGUCAGAUCUCAGCUGGAGCUGCAGGCAUCUGAUGGUUUGAAGUUGGAGGAUCCAUCCCCAAGGUACCUCACCAAAAGAUUGUCAAGAAAACAAAACAAAACUUCUGGAAUGCCUCUUCAUCUGUACUGUAUCCUUGACAGAAUUCCUAUUGAGUGGUUUUCAUAUUUAACAACAGAUCCAAUUUUGUCAAAUAAAUUCUUACAUGGAACUCCAAUCCGUUGAAUUAGAAGAAAAGUUAGUAUAAGUUAUUUCAAGUUUAAUAGUUUUAGUUGUUAAUUUAUUUCUUAAUUUUGUCUUUCAGGGCACAGUGUUGAGAAAUCAUUUACACAGACAAAAAAUUGCAACUGAUUUUUAACUAUUUCUGCGUGCUAUCUUCCUACAUUUUCCAAUUAAAUUCUGAUAGUUCGACAAGAACUGAUUUCUAUUUUUCAAAAUUAUAUCACUAACUUACCAAUAUUCAACUAGUGCUUGCUUUCAAUGAUUGGUUAAUAUUGGCUCUGAAAACGUUCCUUUGCCAACAUAAAUGUUCAUUAAGAAUUUUUCAAAAAUGUCAAAAAAAUACCACCUCAGUUUCAACUAUGAAGUAACAAUUUAAUAUUUCAAAACAGUCAUAUUUAUUUUUCCUUGCUGUUAAAAUCAAACUUUAGCUUCAAUUUUAAGGCGGGCAUUCUAUAUACAUUUAAAAGUAGGUAAUUUUGUGAGUGUGAAUUGGACUUACUUAGAUUACUAAAAUUAGCAGCAAAAUAUAUAACCUGUUUCCACAACAUCUGGAGUUUAAGUAUUAACACUGUAAAAUAUUAUCUGAAUUUCUCAUAUUUUAAACUAUCAUAUGGACAAUAGAACAGAUUCCACUAUAAAAAUAAUUUUUAAAUCACUUCAAGUAGGAUUACAUGUAACUCUGAAUGAAAUGCAGUUAAAACAUAAAACAUAAUAAAAAUAUAACUAGUGUAGUGUUUGCUGACAGUAUUUGCCUAGCAAAUUUCCUUAAUCAGGGAUCUUUUUAAUGAAACACAAUGAUGGUUCAUACAUAAUAAAAGUCUCAUACGUGCUUUUUUGCUUAGAUAGUUUUCAAAUUUUUAAUACAGCUUUCAUUACACUUUUGAUACCUUACUUGAUAAAAUAUUUUUAAACGCAAAUGCUUAAACACUGUAAAUAUUUUUUCUUAAUUUUUAUGAUUACCUGGAAAAUAAUGAGAACAGUAACAUCUGAAGCCUCUUCCACCUGAAUGAUGAAGAUGUCAAAUAUUCUCAGCCUCAAAUUAAUGUGUCAAGUACAUUGGAUUUGUAUCUUUGUGUUCUUUCCUAUCUUCUUAAAAAAUUGUGCUAAUUACAUUUUCAAAAAUUGUUGUUUUUCUAACAUAUUGGUUACAAUAUCAAUAUAUGUGGCUUAAUAAAAUAGUCUCUGAGAACAUGUGCUUUUCUGAAUGUGUCAGGUGGCAGCUUGCUUUUAACAAUAUUGUAAGUUUUUAUAAUCAGAUUUAAAUUGUGUUUAUCUAAAAUAUUUAUGAACAUUGAAUUUAUGGUGAACAAAGCAGAGUCUUCUUUCAAAUCGCAUGUAGUUAUGUUUCAAAUAUGUGAAAUUUUUGAAUACUUCAUUAAAAUUUUAUUUUAAUAGAACACAUUAAAU